rnacentral:rRNA from 1 species
GACAGAGGGGGCAAGCGUUGUUCGGAAUUACUGGGCGUAAAGGGCUCGUAGGUGGCCAACUAAGUCAGACGUGAAAUCCCUCGGCUUAACCGGGGAACUGCGUCUGAUACUGGAUGGCUUGAGUUUGGGAGAGGGAUGCGGAAUUCCAGGUGUAGCGGUGAAAUGCGUAGAUAUCUGGAGGAACACCGGUGGCGAAGGCGGCAUCCUGGACCAACACUGACACUGAGGAGCGAAAGCCAGGGGAGCAAACGGG